rnacentral:rRNA from 1 species
GAUGAACGCUAGCGGCAGGCCUAAUACAUGCAAGUCGAACGGGAUCUGAGGGUAGCUUGCUACCCGAUUUGAGAGUGGCGCACGGGUGCGUAACGCGUGAGCAACCUACCCAUAUCAAGGGGAUAGCCCGGAGAAAUUCGGAUUAACACCGCAUAAUAAUGUAUUAACACAUGUUAAAGCAUUUAAAUAUUUAUAGGAUAUGGAUGGGCUCGCGUGACAUUAGCUAGUUGGUGAGGUAACGGCUCACCAAGGCGACGAUGUCUAGGGGCUCUGAGAGGAGAAUCCCCCACACUGGUACUGAGACACGGACCAGACUCCUACGGGAGGCAGCAGUAAGGAAUAUUGGUCAAUGGGCGGAAGCCUGAACCAGCCAUGCCGCGUGCAGGAUGACUGCCCUAUGGGUUGUAAACUGCUUUUGUCGAGGAAUAAACCUAUCUACGUGUAGCUAGUUGAACGUACUCGAAGAAUAAGGAUCGGCUAACUCCGUGCCAGCAGCCGCCGUAA